rnacentral:lncRNA from 1 species
CCCCGAGACCCGUCACCAGGAUCGCGGGCGCUGUGCCUGGCAGGCUCUUAGGGCUCGGGGCUGCCUCUCGGCUCCCAGCGACAACCGGGGAAAAGCAGGAUGGCGGAAGGAAGGAAGGAGGAAAGCCGGCCGCCAUUAGCCAGAGAGCAGUAUUGAACGGCCCGGCGGCUUCAGCCUUGGCUCCAACCCGACCCAGCCCUCGGCUCGGCUCAAAAACCUGAAAAUAAAACUCGUGUUUGGGAGGGAGGAGCGAGCGCGGCCCGGAGGACAAGCAGCGCCAGGCUGCAGGCGGGAGAGAGAUGCUGCGUCAUGAUGCCAACAUGGACGCCGGCCUUUUGUCCUUUUUCUCUUUGGAAGAGCAGGCGAGCCCCGGAGCCCCGAAAAGCUGGCUUCCGGGGGGCAGAAACCCCCACAAUCAAUCGGGAACGAGACUUUAGGAUGGGUGGGAAGGUUUCCUCGCUUUUUUCAGCCCCUCCAUCUCCAAAACACUUCGAUUUCUUCUUUGCCACUAAGGUGCAGACCUGAGGCGAGCCAAAGGGAAUAGCGCAAGCGGCUCCAUGGAUGCCCCAGGGUACUGGGGACUGGCUCUCUUCGCCUUUGGGUGCAAAAGAGGCAGAGGGGUCUGGAGAGCCCUAGUCCCCUCACCCACCCACUGCAAUCGGCUGCCAAGCUCAAGAAACCCCAGCUCCCAAUCAUCUGCAGCCCAUGGCCUGCUCAAUCGAGAGUUCCUCGAAGGGGGAAAAAGGCACUUGAAAAAAAAUUUUUAGUCUAGUUUUUUACUUACCCACUCAGCCCGGCGCCAUGGAGUCUAGAAGAAAAAGCUGGCCGGUGUUUGUGGAGAUAUUAUAAAAAUAACAGGUCUUUUUUUUGGGGGGGGGAUGUUUGGUUGUUUAGUUGGGGGGAAAUCUGGGGUUCUGGUAUCCCUUUGUUGUUACCUUCUUUGUAAGUUACACUCGUGGUAUUUCUGCUCCUUCCACGACUGCAAACUUUCCAGGGUUUGGCUGGCAUAAAGGCGGCUUCGCUGAGGGCUGUUUAGUGCUCUGGAUUUACCAAUGGUGUGAUCGUCAUUAAGAAACAAAAGGCAAAAACACAAGUCAAAUCAAAACAAAAGGCAAAACCAGCCAUCCCAACCGCCACAGAAAAUACCACCGACUCAACGUAGGUGUUUGGCUUGAACCGGCUAAGGACUUGUUUUCCAGUUUUAAUCUAGUUUUCAGUGGCGGCAUUCAGUCUUUUUUUAUACAAAAGGUCUUCCUUUCUCUCACCCUCCACCACCCCACACCCAGCUCGAGAAAAACAGCUGUUUUUCUUCAAAUAGAUCGAUUUUCAAAGAGUGUACGAGCUACUGGGAAGAAAUCUGAAUAGCAACUAUGGCUGUAAACAUUUUUUUUUUCCAAAAAGCUCGAAGCUAAAAAAUCGUAGCUUUAUAGAAGCAAAAACGUCUAAAAGCAUUUUAACUGACUUACAUCAGACAAAGACAAAGACAUACAUGCAGAUGAAGCUUCCGAAAAUUCAGGACAUUUCAGGCGACAGUAACACGAGAACGGCAGUGCAGUUAAGGACAGAAUGGAUUGGGUACUUACAAUGUAAAAGGUUUUUAGAAAAUUUAACAGUAACAACAGCUCACAGUUUUUUUUGUUAUUGUUGCCGUUUUGCUACAACUAUACAUUUAAAACAUUACCUUGUUAAAAAAUAGAAUUAAUAAGAUGGUCAGGCUUAAGUGUUUAAUAGAGGAAACUAUAUUUAAAAAUUUAUUGUUCAGUCAAGAGAAUACAGAUUAAGACAGCUCCAAGCUCUCCCACCCACCCACCCGAGAAAAAAAAAAAGGAAAAAAUUAAAUAUGUCAUUUACUUAGGUUUUUUUGAAUUCAAAACUGUUAACUGCUGACAUUAAUAGUGUGCUAUGACCUAGUUAUACAAGACAAAGAUGGAUUCCAAGUCAUAAGGAAAAAUCCAGAUCUUUUUAAAAGGUCUUCUUCAUUCUUCCAAGUGUGAGUCCUUUGGCAAAUGUUAAACACAUUCAGGCGUCCUGAACUGGAUGGUGGAGUCAAAGGAAAAGCAUUCCCCAUUUGCAACAAAGGAAAAACCCACUUGGCCAUUUAAUUCCAUUGCAGAAAAAUGGCUCCCUCAUCUGUUGGCCUCUCCUUGGAGUCUGAUGAAGGAUGUUUUGAGAUCAGCGUCUAAUAACUCAAGCCCUAUAGAAGCCGCGCGCUGAUUGGCUGCCGCACCCUGCCGCCCUGCUCCAGCCAAUUACCUACCCACGGCCAAAUUACAAACCCCGAAAAGAGCCCCAAUAUGAAAUACACCACCACGAAGCCCCUGCGAGGAGGCUGCUUCGCCUCGGCAGCCCGAGAAGAGAGACCAAGGGGGUCUGCAACCAGAUCCACGCGAAAAGCCGGGGAAGCCUCCGAGUUGAACUCACAAAAUGGAAGCCGAGCGCUGAUUGGCCGCCGCCACUCCCGGACCUUUAAUAAAGAAAGGGGAAGGAAAAUGAUAAAUGCAAAAAAGGGGACUCUGUCGCUGGUGGCUGGAGGAAGGAGGGAGGAAGAAGCAUGUGUUCAAGACAAUUACUGGGCGCUCCCCUCCAAAAAUAAAAACAGAAAGGCAAAAAAUAAAAAAGAAAAAGAAA